rnacentral:rRNA from 1 species
GAUCAUGGCUCAGGACGAACGCUGGCGGCGUGCCUAACACAUGCAAGUCGAACGGGGUUACAUUGAGGAAGUUUUCGGAUGGAAUUGAUGUAAUCUAGUGGCGAACGGGUGAGUAACGCGUGAGUAACCUGCCUCGAAGAGGGGGAUAACAACGAGAAAUCGUUGCUAAUACCGCAUAAGACCACAGGGCCGCAUGGUCCAGGGGUCAAAACUCCGGUGCUUUGAGAUGGACUCGCGUCCCAUUAGGUAG